GAAUAUCUUCCGUGACCGGGAUAGGGAAUUGUAAUUAUUCCUCUUGAACGAGGAAUCCCUAGUAAGUGUGAGUCAUCAGCUCAUGAAGAGGAUUAU
rnacentral:ncRNA from 1 species